rnacentral:rRNA from 1 species
CGCUCGACAUCAGAGUUUGUAUCCUGGCUCAGGAUGAACGCUGGCGGCGUGCUUAACACAUGCAAGUCGAACGAAGCUUAUUAACGGAAGUUUACGGAUGGAAGGAGAUAAGACUUAGUGGCGGACGGGGUGAGUAACGCGUGGGUAACCUGCCUUAUACAGGGGGGAUAACAGAGAGAAAUUUCUGCUAACACCGCAUAAGACCCCGGUAUCGCAUGAUGCGGAGGUAAAAUAUUAAUAGGUAUAAGAUGGACCCGCGUCUGAUUAGCUGGUUGGUGAGGUAGAGGCUCACCAAGGCGACGAUCAGUAGCCGGCCUGAGAGGGUGAACGGCCACAUUGGGACUGAGACACGGCCCAA